rnacentral:rRNA from 1 species
ACACCGGCGGCCCGAGUGGUGAUCGUGAUUAUUGGGUCUAAAGGGUCCGUAGCCGGUUUGGUCAGUCCUCCGGGAAAUCUGAUAGCUCAACUAUUAGGCUUUCGGGGGAUACUGCCAGACUUGGAACCGGGAGAGGUAAGAGGUACUACAGGGGUAGGAGUGAAAUCUUGUAAUCCCUGUGGGACCACCUGUGGCGAAGGGGUCUUACCAGAACGGGUUCGACGGUGAGGGACGAAAGCUGGGGGCACGAACCGGAUUAGAUACCCGGGUAGUCCCAGCCGUAAACGAUGCUCGCUAGGUGUCAGGCAUGGCGCGACCGUGUCUGGUGCCGCAGGGAAGCCGUGAAGCGAGCCACCUGGGAAGUACGGCCGCAAGGCUGAAACUUAAAUGAAUUGGCGGGG